rnacentral:lncRNA from 1 species
UUAGUGUUUUUUAUCUAUUACAAUGCUACUAAGGUAUUUUUUUUGUAUGUGAGGUAAAGAUAGUCAUGCAAGAUGACGUUUAUGCUACGUUUGCAAAAUUUGAAGAUUUUACAAAGGAACUUGCAGCAAAAUCACUCAUUCUGGAAAAUGCUAGAAAGUAUUCAAAACCAGAACCUUACAUCAACAUUGAUCAUUCAUGGGAAG